rnacentral:rRNA from 1 species
GAUGAACGCUGGCGGCGUGCCUAAUACAUGCAAGUAGAACGCUGAAGCAAGGAGCUUGCUCUUUCCGCAUGAGUUGCGAACGGGUGAGUAACGCGUAGGUAACCUGCCUGGUAGUGGGGGAUAACUAUUGGAAACGAUAGCUAAUACCGCAUAACAGUAGAUGUUGCAUGAUUUCUACUUAAAAGGUGCAAUUGCACCACUACCAGAUGGACUUGCGUUGUAUUAGCUAGUUGGUGAGGUAACGGCUCUACAAGGCGAAGAAACAUAGCCGAACUGAGAGGGGGAUCGGCCAAAAUGGGAGGGAGACACGGCACAGAGGGCUACGGGAAGGAGCAGGAGGGAAACUUCGGGAAGGGGGGGAAAUCUGGCCGAGAAAAGCCGAGGGAGGGAAGAAGGAUUUCGGGUGGGAAAGGUCGGUUGUAAGGGAAGAAAGAGAGGGAGAGUGGAAAGUUCACACUGUGACGGUAACUAACAAGAAAGGGACGGCUAACUACGUG